AUGUAAUAAACUUAUAGAUACAUACACACCACAAUAUCUAUAACUCACAGACACAUCGAACACACCUACAGAUCCAAAACCCACACACAAAAUUCCAGUCCCUCUCGUUCUCUCUCUUUGAAAUCGCCGGCGGGAAUCAAGGGGAUUCUCGGUCGGUCGCCGGAAUCCCAAACGAAAAACUUAGUGAUCUAACGGAAAAUCAGUGAAAGAACAGAAGGGGUUCGAGGCUACCUUGCGAGAUCGGAGGACGAGAGACGAGUGGUAUCACUGCGGCGGUGUUGGCGCCGACAACAGAGACGCCAACGUCGUUUGUGUGCGUGCGGUGUCUGUGGAUGACGGAGGGGCAAAAACGGUAGAUGUACGCGGGGCGGUGAAGAUGGCUGAAGGAGGUGGACCUGCAGUGGUCGUUUGCGACUUAUGGUGGUGGCGGUGCUAGUGGUUUUGCGGUGGACUCGGAAGGCGAUGGCUAGAAGUGGUGCUGGUUCAUGGUGGUGAUUCAAGGAUUAAAUGAGCUCAAAUUAACAAAAGAAGCAAAAAGACAGCUAAAUCUAACAUAAAUACAAGAAAGGGAACAAAAGUGGACUGCCCGACCCCUCGACAGCAUCCUCCCAACCAAAACAGAGAAGGUAGAAGACUGAACACGCCCCGUGCUCAGCGAGCAUGGGGCCGUGCCCAAGAAGCAGCAGAAAAGACAAACCUGUAGAAGCUUCUAUUGCUCACCACGGGGCCGUGCUCAGUGAACACGGAGGCAUGGCCAAAGUACUGCAGGCGCAUAAUUGUAAUUGCGAAUUACAAUUAAUGAAGAGAGAUAGUGUCAGACGGGCACGGGGCCGUGCCCAGCGGACACGGGGCCGUGCCCAGGCUUCUGUUCAGCCUAUAAAUAGGAGUGCUUGGAUACAUUGCAACUCAUCCCUUGGCACACCACCUCUCUCAUACUUCAUCCACCACCCACCACCCACCACCAUCACAACACCAUCAUCCACCACCAUCAUCCAUU
rnacentral:lncRNA from 1 species